GACGAACGCUGGCGGCGUGCUUAACACAUGCAAGUCGAACGAAGUGGCGAACGGGUGAGUAACGCGUAAUCAACCUGCCCUUCAGAGGGGGACAACAGUUGGAAACGACUGCUAAUACCGCAUACUGAAGGAGGGGAUUGCGUCUGAUUAGCUAGUUGGAGGGGUAACGGCCCACCAAGGCGAUGAUCAGUAGCCGGGCCGAGAGGGUGAACGGCACACAUGGGGAUGGGAAACGGCCCAAACUCCUACCGGGAGGAGCAGUGGGGGAACUUCCGCAAUGGACGAAAGUCUGACGGAGCAACGCCUCUGGGGUGAUGACGGCCUUCGGGUUGUAAAGCUCUGUUAAUCGGGACGCGGUACCGGAAUAGAAAGCCACGGCUAACUACGGGCCAGCAGCCGCGGUAAUAC
rnacentral:rRNA from 1 species